GUAGGGUGCGAGCGUUAAUCGGAAUUACUGGGCGUAAAGCGUGCGCAGGCGGUUUUGUAAGACAGGCGUGAAAUCCCCGGGCUUAACCUGGGAACUGCGUCUGUGACUGCAAGACUAGAGUGUGGCAGAGGGGGGUAGAAUUCCGCGUGUAGCAGUGAAAUGCGUAGAUAUGCGGAGGAAUACCGAUGGCGAAGGCAGCCCCCUGGGUCAACACUGACGCUCAUGCACGAAAGCGUGGGGAGCAAACAGGAUUAGAUACCCUGGUAGUCCACGCCCUAAACGAUGUCAACUAGGUGUUGGGGGAGGAGACUUCCUUAGUACCGCAGCUAACGCGUGAAGUUGACCGCCUGGGGAGUACGGCCGCAAGGUUG
rnacentral:rRNA from 1 species